rnacentral:lncRNA from 1 species
UUUAGAUUGUUCUGCUGUUCCUGGUUUAGGGUCUCAAUAGUAAUAGUCGCUUGAUCUGUUUCAUCCCUGUAUAUAUCAUGCUCACUGAACAUAUUAUAGUGAAAAUUUAGUUUGAUGCCAUCAAAUUCAUUGAGUAAUACUCUUGGCAUUCUUGGAGAUCUGCUAGUUUUUGGAUGUUUUUCUUGCUACAGUUAAGUGAAAAUGUUCAGUGCUCCAACCAGGUUGUGAUGGUCCAAGCAGAGGAAUUAUAAUCCUUGAGCUCUUCUUCCCCUGUUCCAACCAGGUUGUGAUGAUCCAAGCAGAGGAAUUAUAAUCCUUUUUGCAGUUCAUCUAUGUUUAGGGAUUUAUAAGUGGUGUCUUUCUUGUGUUUUAUACUAGUAGUGUUACCUUUCUUUUUACUAGUAGCCAUUAAUUAAGAUUCCUUUUUUUAGUCAUCAUGCCUUGUUGCCUCUAUGCAAGUUGUGAUGAUCCAAGCAGAGGAAUUAUAAUCCUUGAGCUCUUCUUCCCCUAUUUCUCCUGUCAACUGCCUGCCUCUAUGCAAGUUGUGAUCAUCCAAUCCCCUUGAGCACUGCUACUGAUAGUGACAAUUAUAAAUGCUAAUGCGCCGCAACAUCAUCAGU